rnacentral:rRNA from 1 species
GAUGAACGCUGACAGAAUGCUUAACACAUGCAAGUCAACUUGAAUUUGGGUUUUUAAUUUAGGUUUGGGUGGAGGACGGGUGAGUAACGCGUAAAGAACUUGCCUCACAGCUAGGGACAACAUUUGGAAACGAAUGCUAAUACCUAAUAUUAUGAUAAUAGGGCAUCCUAUAAUUAUGAAAGCUAUAAGCGCUGUGAGAGAGCUUUGCGUCCCAUUAGCUAGUUGGAGAGGUAACGGCUCACCAAGGCGAUGAUGGGUAGCCAGCCUGAGAGGGUGAUCGGCCACAAGGGGACUGAGACACGGCCCUUACUCCUACGGGAGGCAGCAGUGGGGAAUAUUGGACAAUGGACCGAGAGUCUGAUCCAGCAAUUCUGUGUGCACGAUGAAGUUUUUCGGAAUGUAAAGUGCUUUCAGUUGGGAAGAAACAAAUGACGGUACCAACAGAAGAAGUGACGGCUAAAUACGUG